CAGCUAUUCAGACACACACAUUUUUUUCUGGAGGCAAGCUGAAGUACGGCGCCGAAGUCUACGCCCCUUCGUUGGUGAUUGGUCAAUGGACCUGAGCCCUAGGACCAUGCCUCAGGACUACCUGGCUUGAUGACUCCUUGCUGUCCCCAGUUCACCUGGCCGUGCUGCUGCUCCAUUUCCAACUGUUCUGCCUGCAGCUAUGGAACCCUGAACUAUUCACUGGAUGUGCUACCUGUCCCAGACCUGCUGUUUUCAACUCUCUAGAGACAGCAGGAGCGGUAGAGAUACUCUCAAAGAUCGGCUAUGAAAAAGCCAACUGACACUUACUCUUGUGUCACUGACUUGUUGCACCCUCGACAACUACUAUGAUUAUUAUUAUUUGACCAUGCUGGUCAUUUAUGAACAUUUGAACAUCUAGGCUAUGUGCUGUUAUAAUCUCCACCCGGCACAGCCAGAAGAGGACUGGCCACCCCUCAUAGCCUGGUUCCUCUCUAGGUUUCUUCCUGGGUUUUGGCCUUUCUAGGGAGUUUUUCCUAGCCACCGUGCUUCUACACCUGCAUUGCUUGCUGUUUGGGGUUUUAGGCUGGGUUUCUGUACAGCGCUUUGAGAUAUCAGCUGAUGUAAGAAGGGCUAUAUAAAUAAAUUUGAUUUGAUGAUUCUGUCAUCAUGAAGUUCUUUGAGAGACUAGUCAUGGACCAUAUCACCUCCACCCUACCUGAUAACCUAGACCCAAUCUAAU
rnacentral:lncRNA from 1 species